rnacentral:rRNA from 1 species
UACGGGGGGGGCAAGCGUUGUUCGGAAUUACUGGGCGUAAAGCGCGUGUAGGCGGCUCUUCAAGUCGAGUGUGAAAGCUCCAGGCUUAGCCUGGGAAUUGCGCUCGAUACUGUUGAGCUAGAGUGUGGAAGGGGCUACUGGAAUUCCGUGUGUAGCGGUGAAAUGCGUAGAUAUCGAGAGGAACACCUGAGGUGAAGACGGGUUGCUGGGCCGACACUGACGCUGACAGCGCGAAAGCCAGGGGAGCAAACGGG